rfam:Enterococcus sp. HSIEG1 chromosome, whole genome shotgun sequence.
AGCUCCUUUAAGUGUAGUCCCGUGAGGCUAAGAAGGAAAUGAGCAAGCAGACGACUCCCGCGUUGGAGCAUCGAAAACUUGCUGGAUGAUUGCGCAUAUUCUGGAUCGCUGUAUACAGCGCCAGAAAGUAUGAUCGGAAAACAUAACUCCUGCCUCACUAGGCAGGAGUUUUUUUAUGU